GACAGAGGUGCCAAGCGUUAGGCGGAAUCACUGGGCUUAAAGCGUGUGUAGGUGGAUGCCUAAGUGCCUUGUGAAAUCCCACGGCUCAACCGUGGAAUUGCUGGGCAUACUGGGUGUCUUGAGCCAUCCAGGGGUCGCUGGAACAAACGGUGGAGCGGUGAAAUGCGUAGAUAUCGUUUGGAACGCCAAUGGUGAAAACAGGCGACUGGGGAUGAGCUGACACUGAGACACGAAAGCCAGGGAGCAAACGGG
rnacentral:rRNA from 1 species